rnacentral:rRNA from 1 species
AGGAAUCUGCCUAUUAGUGGGGGACAACAUCUCGAAAGGGAUGCUAAUACCGCAUACGUCCUACGGGAGAAAGCAGGGGACCUUCGGGCCUUGCGCUAAUAGAUGAGCCUAAGUCGGAUUAGCUAGUUGGUGGGGUAAAGGCCUACCAAGGCGACGAUCUGUAGCGGGUCUGAGAGGAUGAUCCGCCGCACUGGGACUGAGACACGGCCCAGACUCCUACGGGAGGCAGCAGUGGGGAAUAUUGGACAAUGGGGGGAACCCUGAUCCAGCCAUGCCGCGUGUGUGAAGAAGGCCUUUUGGUUGUAAAGCACUUUAAGCGAGGAGGAGGCUACCGAGAUUAAUACUCUUGGAUAGUGGACGUUGCUCGCAGAAUAAGCACCGGCUAACUCUGUGCCAGCAGCCGCGGUAAUACAGAGGGUGCAAGCGUUAAUCGGAUUUACUGGGCGUAAAGCGCGCGUAGGUGGCCAAUUAAGUCAAAUGUGAAAUCCCCGAGCUUAACUUGGGAAUUGCAUUCGAUACUGGUUGGCUAGAGUAUGGGAGAGGAUGGUAGAAUUCCAGGU